rnacentral:rRNA from 1 species
GAGUUUGAUCCUGGCUCAGGACGAACGCUGGCGGCGUGCCUAAUGCAUGCAAGUCGAACGCAGCAGGCGUGCCUGGCUGCGUGGCGAACGGCUGAGGAACACGUGGGUAACCUGCCCCGGAGUGGGGGAUACCCCGUCGAAAGACGGGACAAUCCCGCAUACGCUCUUUGGAGGAAAGCUAUACGGCGCUCUGGGAGGGGCCUGCGGCCCAUCAGGUAGUUGGUGUGGUAACGGCGCACCAAGCCAAUGACGGGUACCCGGUCUGAGAGGACGACCGGGCAGACUGGGUCUGCGACACGGCCCAGACUCCUACGGGAGGCAGCAGCAAGGAAUUUUCCCCAAUGGGCGCAAGCCUGAGGGAGCAACGCCGCGUGGAGGACGACGGCCUUCGGGUUGUAAACUCCUUUCGGGUGGGACGAAGCUGACGGUACCACCAGAAGCAGCCCCGGCUAACUCUGUGCCAGCAGCCGCGGUAAGACAGAGGGGGCAAGCGUUGUCCGGAGUUACUGGGCGUAAAGGGCGCGCAGGCGGUGGGCUGCGUCGGCGCUGAAAGCGCCCCGCUUAACGGGGCGAGGUGCGCCGAUACGAGUUCACUCGAGGCAAGCAGAGGGUGGCGGAAUUCCGGGUGGAGCGGUGAAAUGCGUAGAGAUCCGGAGGAACGCCGGUGGGGAAGCCGGCCACCUGGGCUUGACCUGACGCUGCGGCGCGACAGCGUGGGGAGCAAACCGGGAUUAGAUACCCGGGUAGUCCACGCCGUAAACGAUGCCGGCUCGGCGUCUGGCGCACGUUAGUGUGCUGGGUGCCUCAGCUCACGCGGUA